CAGCCGCGGGAAUACGAAGGGUGCAAGCGUUACUCGGAAUUACUGGGCGUAAAGCGUGCGUAGGUGGUGGUUUAAGUCCGUUGUGAAAGCCCUGGGCUCAACCUGGGAAUUGCAGUGGAUACUGGGUCACUAGAGUGUGGUAGAGGAUAGUGGAAUUUCCGGUGUAGCAGUGAAAUGCGUAGAGAUCGGAAGGAACAUCUGUGGCGAAGGCGACUAUCUGGGCCAACACUGACACUGAGGCACGAAAGCGUGGGGAGCAAACAGGAUUAGAUACCCGGGUAGUCCCUGUCUCUUAUACACA
rnacentral:rRNA from 1 species